rnacentral:rRNA from 1 species
UAAACCGGGAUUAGAUACCCCGCUAUACGGGGGAGUCCCCUAAGGGGGGUAGUAUCGGCUACGGCCCCCAAACCCAAAGAACUUGGCGGCAACCCAUCCUACUAGAGGAGCCUGCCCCGUAACCGAUAUCACCCGUUAACUCCGGCCCCCAGUAUGUCUGUAUACCGCCGUCUAACCCCUAGCUACGAAGGUGGGGUGUCAAGGUCACCACCAAAGACAGGUCGAGGUGCAGCGGAUCUGGGGGGGGUGGUGGGCUACAAUUCCUGUGGGGCGGACCCCCCCCUACCGGGGGGGGGCAAGAUGGAUUUAGUACUACCUGAGGGUUAACACCCCCUGGGGAAAUGGGUCUGGGUCGUGUACAUAUCGCCCGUCACUCUCAACAAACUUGAGAU